UCCGAAGAUGAAACGGCACUGGGCUCCGACGGCAUCAAAAGAUGUUCGGUCAUGACGGAUAUGCCUAUUUUGCGGCAGGCCUAGAAAACCUCGCCCACUGAGA
rnacentral:snoRNA from 1 species